GUUGUACGAGAAUUAUGCAGAGUUCCAUCCAUUUCUGCGUGUUUUGUGCGCAUCGUUCAAAUUUUUAAAACAUGCAUCUUUUGUUGUUACCAUGGCGAUCAGUUAUCAACAUUUUUAAAACGCACCGAGCAACGGAAAGAAAGAACGAUGGCUAUUGUGGUGAAAUCAUCAAAGAAAUCUGACUUUGAGUCAGCGCUGUGUAAGCACUCCAGCUCCCUGAAUCCUGUCUCCUCUGGAGACCUGGACAACGGCAGCUCCAGCUGGAGUGUCGACUCUUCUACAGCUGAGAUUUCAAGGAGCAUUGCUACCUGUUUGGCUCUCAUCGUUAAAGAUUAUUAUGAUGGCAACACAACACUUCCUGCUGAGAGGCCAAAUGAGCAAGUGGCCAUCAGCUGUGGCGAUGGCAUCAGUCUGCCGCAAAAGAUCCUGUUUCCACCAGAGCGCCUCAGCUUGAAAUGGACUCAGGUCCAUCGUAUUGGAGCAGGUCUCCAGAACCUGGGCAACACAUGUUUUCUGAAUUCAGUUCUUCAGUGUCUUUCAUACACUGCACCACUUGCUAACUACAUGCUGUCCAGAGAACAUUCCAAAACAUGUCAUGAGCCCGAAUUUUGCAUGCUGUGUACCAUGCAGAAUCACACCAUUCAGGUGUUUGCUAAUUCGGGGAAUGCCAUCAAGCCCCUUGGUGUGUUGCAUGAACUAAAACGGAUUGCACAGCAUUUCCAGUGUGGGGAUCAAGAAGAUGCCCAUGAGUUCCUGCGGUACACAGUGGAUGCUAUGCAAAAGUCCUGCCUGCCUAACACUGAAUUGGACAGGCAAACGCAGGCUACUACUCUGAUCCAUCAGAUAUUUGGCGGAUAUUUCAGGUCCAGAGUGACGUGUAUGAACUGCAAAGCAGUAUCAGACACAUUUGAUCCUUUUUUGGAUAUUGCACUGGACAUCAAGAAUGCCCCGACUAUUCUCAAGGCUUUUGAGCAGUUUGUUAAGGCUGAACAGCUCGAUUGGGAGAAUGCCUACAAGUGCAGCACUUGUAAGGAAACGGUUCAGGCCUCAAAAAGAUUAAGCAUUCACCGCAACUCCAAUGUGCUCACUGUCUCUCUGAAGCGCUUUGAUGACUUCAAUGGAGGCAAAAUCUCCAAGGAUGUGAGAUACACUGAGUACUUUGACUUGCGGCCAUACAUGUCCCAGUCUCACGGAGAGCCGCAGAUUUACAGGCUGUAUGCUGUGCUGGUGCACUCAGGCUUCAGCUGCUAUGCCGGACACUACUACUGCUACGUAAAAGCAAGUAAUGGCCAGUGGUAUCAGAUGAAUGAUUCAUCAGUGACACCCACUGAUAUACAAUCUGUGCUGAACCAGCAAGCAUACCUGCUGUUCUACAUCAAGCAAAGGUCUACAGAUCUGGAAAAUGGAGAUUUUAACCAGAAGGGUUUUACUCAAGGUCAUUCAUCUCCCCGACCAGUAACACCUAAGCAAAACGGGCAUUCUUAUACCUCCUCGACCAUUAUCGGUCCACAGCUCCCUCCUACUAUGGUAAAGAAUAACUCGUAUGUCUAUGGCAACGGCUCCUCCAAGAAGUACCACAGCUCAAAGCCCAGCAGCAGUGACAUCAGCAGUGUGAGCAAAGCCACCUCCAAUGUGUCUUACUCUUCCACCCCAUCCUCCACUUCUCAUCAACCCGUCCUCCCCACGGGCAUGAAGAGUAUCAAGAUGAGAUUUACUCUCAGCAAUGGAAAGGUGAUGCAUUGCAGAAUCGUGGAAAACGACACUCCUAAGCCUUCUGGUGUUGCCAAGGCAUCCAAUGGGAACGAUGGCAUGCACAGUCCUCACUUUAAUAGUUCAAGCUCGCAUUCGCCUAAGUCAAACAGAUCUAACAGCUUCUCCGAAUCUCACAUGGGUACAAAUGAGUCAGGAAUUGGUCAAGUCAAUGGCUUCAAACAUUCUGACAAGUACAAUGGAGAGCAGAGCAGCAAUAGAGCAAAGCUCUCAUCUCCAUGUACCACUAGCCCUUUGCCCUGGCAUGGGACCAGAAAACGCAGCUUGUCUGGUGAAGACAGCAUGUCUGAGGAGCACAGGAUCAAGAAAUUUAAAAAAUCAAUGAAGAAAAAUAUAGACAAGCACAGUAGUUCAGAAUGGGACGUGUCUGUCAAGAACCAGGACAGCAGCUCCAGCCAACAGAAUAAAAUGAAGAAGAGGAGGCAUGAGUCAGAGGACAGACUUCACAGAGAGGGACAGUCCUCAGACAAGCAUGAUUGGAAAGGCAGGAAUAGUGAGGAGAGAAAGAGACAUAAGCACCAGCGCAGCUCUGACAGAGAUAGUUCUCCUCACCGUUCCAAUCUGCCAUCUAUCAAGGAUCUUCGUCAGUGGUUUCUCAGGUAAUGUUGUUAAGCAUUAUAAUGGAUAUGUCCAAGGAUUCUGUCAUAAAGAAAUAGUUGCAGAGAUCAAAUAUGGAGACAUGAACCAUAUUUCCUCUAACAAUAGUAGGAAGAUUUCCUCACGUGAAGGAGACAUGGGAGAGACAGGCCCUGUGCCGUGCAGAUGAAACAGUGAAUUCUGGAGAUCUGCCUCUGACCUAUGGUCUCAGAGGACAAAGGAAAACUUCACUUUACAAAAUACUGUAAUAUUGUAAAUAUUGUACACUUUACUAAAUAUUUUAAUAUUGAAAGCAUUUUACACUUUAUUAAAUAUUUUAAAUAUUGUACAUUAUUAAAUAAAUGCUUUACACUUUUUUUUAGGGUUAAGGAUUAUUUUUACCAUGCUGUACACCUGAAUGUUGAAUAAAAACUCAAUGAAAAAUGUUUAAAAAAAAUAAAUGAAUAUAUACACUUAAACCAGAAGAAGAAGCCUGGAGCUUUAUCAUCAAAAUUUCUGCUCAGACAUAGACUCAGGACUUUCUCACUUGUGAAGAUGACACACAUUCUCCCUUUAAGGACAAAUAUCUGGGAAUGAUGGAGAAAAGUGAACAAAAAUGCUGCAUAAAAGUAGAAAGACUAUCUCGGCUGCAAGCGAUAAUGUCACCGUUUUCACCUUUCUGUCCUCAACAGAACAGGUUUUUUUUAGUUCUUUGUGUGCACUUGCACUACGGUAAACCUGGACACAUUUGAUAUUUUCUGCCUACUUUCCCCAUUUGUGUUAUUACUUUAAAACACCAGACUCCAGGAUCCACCUAAUGUCAUUAUACUGAAUCUUCCACAUUUCUUCACAUAGAAAAAAAUGUACAUUGCAUUACAUCAUGUAUGGAUGUGGAUGAUUUUAAAUGCAAGUUUUAAUACUUUCAUGUUAAAAAUACUGUGAAUUUAAGUUAAACUGUACUAUCAGUUAUUUAUUUGCUAUUCUGUAUCAAGAGACCAGUAUAAACACUUCUUUUAGAGAUGUUCCAAAAUAUUUCCCACCUUUUUUGACAAAAAUAAGUGAAAACGGUUAUAAUCAAAUCCUACAUUUUAUUGUAGCAUGUUGAAAAAUUCUAUGUUGUACAUUUUGUAUUAAUUAAGGUGGAAUAGGCCUUAAUGUCUACAAUUGUAAUGUUUUCUCAUUAUGUUUACAGAUUUUUGUUGGGAUGAAUGUAUAGGUGUGUGAUGAUGGGUUGAGUGUUUGGAUUUGUACAGGGUGAUGUCUUUUCUCACCUUUUG